CCCGCCAGCAGGAGGCGAUGGAGCCAGGGGCAAGCACGCCAUAAAUAAAAGAAUCUGUGAAGCCCCGCUGCACUUUCGGAGGCUCCGCGGUGCUGAAAAGGACAGCUCCUCCACGGCUGCAGGCAUGUUCACCCGGAUGCUCAAACUGAGGCUCCUCAAUGCCGUGGCCCCUGCUUACUUUUUCAUGGCGACUGUGGUCACCUUCGUCCUGCACUUUGGCUUCUUCAUGCCAACGAUCUUCCCCAGCUCCGACACGUCACCAGGAUGUUCCACAACCGUUCCCACUGUCGUUUUCCUUUUCCUGAUGUUCAACGCCCUUGGGAAUUAUGCAAUGACGAUCCUGUAUCCCGCAGCGAGUGCCAACGAGACGGCGGUCCCGGUGUGUUCCCCGCACUGCUCGGACAAAGUGGACGCGCACUACCUCCUGAAUGGCCGCCACUUCUGCAAACUGUGCAAGAAAGUGAUACUCAAACGGGAUCACCACUGCUUUUUCACCGGGAAUUGUAUCGGCAACAAAAACAUGCGCUACUUCAUCAUGUUUUGCAUCUACACCUCGUGCACGUGUUUGUACUCGUUGGUUCUUGGUGUGGCCUUCCUCACGGUGGAAUACUCCAUCUCUUUUGAAAACCCACUGACUUUCUUGACCCUUCUGCCCCUCUCCACUGGUUACUUCUUCACAGGAACAAUCUCCGGCUUGCAGCUGUUCUUGGUGCUGAUGCUGUAUGUGUGGCUGGGCAUCGGGCUGGUGUGUGCGGGCUUCUGUUGCCAGCAGGUGCUGCUGGUGGCCCGGGGCCAGACCUGGUGUCAGAUGCAGAGGCGGCAACUGGCAGAGAACCGCAGCCCCUGGAGAAGCAAUCUCACGGAUGUGUUUGGCUCCAACUGGGCGCUGGGCCUUAUUCUGCCUGUGCACACAGCCCAGAUGUGCUCUGAGGAGCCACUCAAGCAAGACUGAGCAUUCAUUUAUCAGCAGCUUUCAAUAAUUCACACAGUAACACUUUCGAAGAAAUGCUCUGCCAGGCGAAUUGUAGACAUUCAAAAGACAGUGGAACCUCUUCAUAGACUUUUGCGAAACAUCUGCCUCUAAAAUUGCACAAAAGCAGAGAUUGAAAGGUUUUAUGCUGUCACAAUUUGACCCUGGAGCAGAAUCUUUGCUAUUUCCCAUGAGGAACAAAAUAUUUUUCUUGCCAAACAAUUUGACUAAUGUCCUGGGAUGGAUUAUGCUUUUCAAAUUUCCACACAAAAAAUAAAAAGUCAUUGAAUUAUAAACGUAAUUUUGAAUUAAAACGACUCACCAUUUGAAGAAAAGGGGAAGAGAACAUGUUUGUAGAGCAGUAGGUCACCCAUAGGUGACCCCACAUAUUGCAUUUGCGAUUGGGCAUUGGCAAAGUCUGGACGUACCCUCCUUUCUUUGCUGAAAAACUCCCCCAUUUGCUGUUUCCAUGCCCCGACCAAAGCCAUAAUAAGUAUACAAAUGCUUUUUGUUUAAGUGAGUGAAGAGCUUCAUAUAGACAAAAGUAAGGCUUUUGCUGCCAUCUUGUGGUAUAUAUAGGAAAUUCUAACCUUUUCCGGGGGUGGACAUAACUCAUUGAUUAUGCUAAUUGCGACAGGGCUCCGUGAAUAGCAUAAACGUACACUUAAACAUGGCUAGUUGGGAUGAAUAGGAUGUUAGUACACAAAAUUAAAAUGUACCAUUUAAACAAGUUUUCGCUAGACUAGUUUCUCUCUCUUUCAUGCUACUAAUUAGCCAUAGUGCUUACAGGCACAUGCUAUUUGAACAGCUGCUUGGUAAAAUGAUUUUGGAUUCUUAAUUACUGUUCAAUUUAUUGUUUUGCUCGUGCUGUACCGAGGAGCCAAACAUUUGUCAUUGUCAAUAUGAACCCUUUCAGGGACAGCGGUUACUACAGUGGACAUCUUAUGUUAUCGUCGCAACUUUUAAGAAGCAAAACAGAUUUGCUGAUGUCUCGUGUGAGGCUUUCAAAAGUUGUGUUUGACUUUUGAGGCACAUUUUGGUUGACCUCCAAAUUGAACAGCUUUUGGCCCACUUUCAAACUCCCAGAGGUUCCACUGCAUUUGCUUUGCCAUGACUUAAGUAGCUCUUGCCAAUACAUUCCUGUUAGGAGAGGAGCCAUAUACAUCGAGCAUAUAGGAGUGUACAUUUCUCUUUUACGAAGUGUUUUAGAAUGCAAUAUUUAAACUCUUAAGGUUAAUCGUCAAUAUGUCUUGCUUUCCAUUUCUGUAUUAUGCUCUCAAAUCGAAUGCGACUUGAUUGCUCCGACACACACUGCAGAGAGCAUUCAGGAAAUGUAUUGUUUUUCCAGUUAUUAGGUUUGGCGUUAAGGGCUAGCAUGUCAAGAAUCACCACGACAUUUCUUGUCUACUCUCGAGAACGCGACAGCUUGAUUGUUGAUGGGCUCGCUGCACGGUGUAAUUAUCCAGGGUAUUAAUCACAACGUGCCAUAACAUGACUUACGUGUUUCGUACACAACGGCCCCACAGAUGACGUAAUUGCAGGACACUGCUGACACUAAUGAUGGGGUGAAGGACUUUUACACAGAUGUACUACAGCUACUGUUUGGCGUAUUCGGCAUUAUACACAGGUAACAGAUGUUUUAGAUUUUGUUUACUACUUUAAUUCGUAUUAAGCUCUUUUGCCUGUGGUUGGUAAAACACAUAAACCCCAAGUGCUUCGAUGUAUUCAAUUUAACACCACUCAGGUGAGACACUAUACAAGGUAACCUCUUCAAUUUAAAUAAGUCACAGGUGAUAGGAUGUUUUUAAGCGCAAAAUAAUUGACAAAUAUUUUUUUUUCAAAGGAAGUUUUAUGACCAUUCGUCAAGGUGACUUUUGCACAAGAGGCACGCUUCACAAAAAGAAAGGUACAAUUUGAUUCUGUUCAAAACAUUUCCGUCGUAAUACUGCUGACUCUGGGUGUUGCCAAAAUAAAAGGACUGUACAGUAUUACAGCUUAUCAUUAAAACUCACCCAUGCACUUUAUGGCUUCCUGUUGUCACUGAUUGUUGACUCUUUGGGGAGGCAUGACAUGGUGGACACCAAUCCAAGCAUUUGGAGCUCUAACACAAGCACGCACAUAUUCAAAAGGCACAGUAAAUCGUUCAUUUUUACACAUUUUAAAAUAAUAAAUAAAUCAAGCAGGUAGCGGGAUUCUGGUAACUAAAGUGCAAAGUAUGAUAUGUUAUUACUUUCAGCUAGAAUAACGGUCAUGGUCUCCUUACAUUAUAAAAAAAAAAGAAGAAAAAAACAGCAACAGGAACAAAGAUGGCA